AACGAACGCUGGCGGCAUGCCUAACACAUGCAAGUCGAACGAGACCUUCGGGUCUAGUGGCGCACGGGUGCGUAACGCGUGGGAAUCUGCCCUUGGGUUCGGAAUAACAGUUGGAAACGACUGCUAAUACCGGAUGAUGACGUAAGUCCAAAGAUUUAUCGCCCAAGGAUGAGCCCGCGUAGGAUUAGCUAGUUGGUGAGGUAAAGGCUCACCAAGGCGACGAUCCUUAGCUGGUCUGAGAGGAUGAUCAGCCACACUGGGACUGAGACACGGCCCAGACUACUACGGGAGGCAGGAGUGGGGAAUAUUGGACAAUGGGCGAAAGCCUGAUCCAGCAAUGCCGCGUGAGUGAUGAAGGCCUUAGGGUUGUAAAGCUCUUUUACCCGGGAUGAUAAUGACAGUACCGGGAGAAUAAGCGCCGGCUAACUCCGUG
rnacentral:rRNA from 1 species